rnacentral:rRNA from 1 species
CAGCCAACCCGCGAGGGGGAGCAAAUCCCAUCAAAGCCGGUCUCAGUUCGGAUAGCAGGCUGAAACUCGCCUGCUUGAAGCCGGAAUCGCUAGUAACGGUAGGUCAGCACACUACCGUGAAUACGUUCCCGGGUCUUGUACACACCGCCCGUCAAACCAUGAAAGUCACCAAUACCUGACGUCCUAGCUUGCCUAGGCCUAAGGUAGGGGGGAUGAUUGGGGUUAAGUCGUAACAAGGUAUCCGUACCGGAAGGUGCGGAUGGAUUACCUCCUUUCU